rnacentral:rRNA from 1 species
GAUGAACGCUGGCGGCGUGCUUAACACAUGCAAGUCGAACGGACGGAUUGGAGCUUGCUCCAUGAAGUUAGUGGCGGACGGGUGAGUAACGCGUGGGUAACCUGCCCUAUGCAGGGGGAUAACGUUUGGAAACGAACGCUAAUACCGCAUAAUCUAGUUGGUUCGCAUGAACCGAUUAGCAAAGAUUUUAUCGGCAUAGGAUGGACCCGCGUUGGAUUAGCUAGUUGGUGAGAUAAAAGCCCACCAAGGCGACGAUCCAUAGCCGGCCUGAGAGGGUGAACGGCCACACUGGGACUGAGACACGGCCCAGACUCCUACGGGAGGCAGCAGUGGGGAAUAUUGCACAAUGGGCGCAAGCCUGAUGCAGCGACGCCGCGUGAAGGAUGAAGGUCUUCGGAUUGUAAACUUCUAUCAGCAGGGAAGAACGUCCGGGUGAGUAACUGCACCCGGAGUGACGGUACCUGAGAAGAAAGCCCCGGCUAACUAC